UAGGGAAUCUUCCGCAAUGGGCGCAAGCCUGACGGAGCAAUACCGCGUGAGGGAUGACAACCUGUGGGUUGUAAACCUCUUUUUCAAGGAGGAAGAUCUGACGUGUACUUGAAGAAUAAGCAUCGGCUAACUCCGUGCCAGCAGCCGCGGUAAGACGGAGGAUGCAAGUGUUAUCCGGAAUCACUGGGCGUAAAGCGUCUGUAGGUGGUUUAAUAAGUCAGUUGUUACAAAUUGAGGCUUAACCUUAAAUAAGCAACAGAUACUGUUAAACUUGAGUAUAGUAGAGGUAAAAGGAAUUUCCAGUGGAGCGGUGAAAUGCGUAGAGAUUGGAAAGAACACCGAUGGCGAAG
rnacentral:rRNA from 1 species